rnacentral:rRNA from 1 species
UACAGAGGGGGCGAGCGUUGUUCGGAAUUACUGGGCGUAAAGGGCGCGUAGGCGGCCUGCUAAGUCGAACGUGAAAUCCCCGGGCUCAACCCGGGAACUGCGUCCGAUACUGGUGGGCUUGAAUCCGGGAGAGGGAUGUGGAAUUCCAGGUGUAGCGGUGAAAAUGCGUAGAUAUCUGGAGGAACACCGGUGGCGAAGGCGGCAUCCUGGACCGGUAUUGACGCUGAGGCGCGAAAGCUAGGGGAGCAAACGGG